CUUAUUACUUUCUUUCUCUAUUACCCCAACCUGGGUUUGUUGAGUGUUGAGAGAGAGUGGAGAAAAUCGAAACUCCUAUACCAUGUUCUGCACUGAGUGAACCAAUUCCCAAUCUUCAUUCCAAAAUCCCCAUCCAUUCUCACCCGUCGAGUGGGUGGCUCCGCCGUGUCAGAUCUGGGUUGCUGGCAGUUUCCGAUGGGUUACGCAAUCGAACUCUACAUGGACCCAGCACUGGAGAACCAGGUUCUCAAAGCCUGGAACGUCAUCGCACGCCGUCAGAUCAGCACACAGCUCAUCGAAAUGGAGUCACGCCCUCACCUCACACAGCUCAUCGCGAUUCGGAAGGAAGGUCAGUUUGCAAGAGACGAGAGAUCAAGUGGAAGAUCCUGUUUUGUCGCAUAUAGUUGUGUGUCGGCUUCCGCGAAUUAAAAGAUCUUCAAGAGGUUGUUUAUGUGGCCACAGUUGUUCAACUCUAGGGUUAUAAUGAUUGUACUCAUUGGUGUUUGCCUGGUCCUGUUGAUUUGUGGAGUGAGUUGUUGUUUGCUGUUCUUCAAAGGGAGGCUGGGAUGAAUUCUGAUCUUAUGGCACAAACUUGACAAAAGUAUAGUUAAAUUCAUUUGUAUACAGCAGUAAACAAUAAUAUCAGUCAUAAAUAUCUACAUUCUUUUCA